UUAUAUUUUUAAGCUGGGAGAAGCUAAGGGGUAGGAAUGAUCCAGAACAAGAGAGCGUGUCUCCCCCAAGACCAUCUUUUCAAACAAUUUAUCUGACCGUCAAGUUGCAUCAAUGACAGCAUGUUUGGUGCAGGGAGUGGGGCUGGUUUGGGAAUCUGGAGACAGUCGACUCCUGGUCUAAGGUGCAUUUAACAUGUUGUUGGCAGCUUUUCCUACUUGAGAAAGGGAGUACUAGUUAGUAGAGUGAAUGCCUGAGUUGUAGGCUGGGCUGUGGAAGACCAGCAAGGACUAAUGGGGCGCUGGGUAUCCUGAACGGUGGGAGAGCUUAGGGGGCCAGCCCCUUGUCCGUGAGGUGGCCCCAGUGAGCAACUGUGUGAAAAGUGAGGCCGGCCCAGGUGCAUAUUUCAGUCCAGAGGAGAGUCAAUAUUUGUUUUCAAAAGUAACUUGUGAGUUUGGUAGCUUUUGAAAAUUUGCUGUUGGUAAUAUGUAUCCUUUUUCCUCUACUAACAUCUAAUAAAACACCAAACAAAAGGGACGCCUGAGGGGCUCGGUCGGGUAAGCGUCUGCCUUCGGCUCGGGUCAUGAUGUCAGGACCCUGGAAUCGAGUCCUGGGUUAGGCUCCCUGCUUGGUGUGGAGUCUGCUUCUCCCUCUCCCUCUGCCCCUCCCACUGCUUGUGCUUUCUGUCUCCUCUCUCUCUGUCAGGUAAAUAAAUAAAAUCUUUAAAAAAGAAACAAACAAACUGUUAAACAAACAACCACAGUGAGGGUUGUUUGCUUAUUUCAGGAGGAGCAAGUAGGGAGAAUUAAGCGCUGCAGUGGGUGCGGCCAGAAAGAAGCCCAUGAGUUGAACAUAGGCCAGUCCCUGGCAUGAGAAAGCAUUCAAGGGGCCUUAUGCUCCUAGGAUACCCCUCAUCUAUACCAUCAGUGAUCCUGUUUCCUGAGGCAAAACUAAGUACGUGUCUGACGCCAUAAGCAAUUUCAAGGCCUCCCCUAAUAUCCAGCCCAAUCUGAUACAACUCUCCCAUCACUCCACUGACUUUCAUUGCAGUGGGACCAACUUUUCUCACCUCAGGAUCUUUGUAUGUGCUACUCACAUAGACUGGAUGCUCUUCCUAGUUGUCACCUGGUGGAUUCCUGGGCCAGCUUCCACUUCAGCUUCAGUGUUAUACCUUCUUAUCCCCCACCCUCCACCCCAGAUUUCAGUCCAUUUCUUCAGUGUUACCAAAAGUCUCCCACAUUCCCCUACUUAAACCUCCAUAGCAUUUUUCACAAUUUGUACUACACGCCCAUGUGAGAACCCAGCUAGGUCACAGGCCCAAGCAGGCAGGAACUACACAUGUUUGCACGUACCAUGUCGUCAGUGCUCAGUAAAUACUUGUCUGGAUACAUACACAGAUGUCCACUUCUCUGUGAUUCUAGGUGGUUGGGUAUAGACGCAGGUAUCCGCAUGUCUGUGUGACUUCAGGGGGGUGGGGUGUAACAAUAAAGGUUUCCAUCCUAGACCCAGACUAAUGGAGUUUAGAUCCCAGCUAUCACCUGCCAGCCCACGAGCUGGUGUCUGUGUGCCUCUUCUCUGGAGUGGGCUCGGUCAUCAUGUGGGGCUGUCACACUGGUCACCAGCUGGUCACACUGGUCACUAGCGCUUGGUCACUCAGUAUCCACAGCAGUGGCAGGACUUCCAGCAUUUGGGCUGUGCUCAGGGUUAUACAGCAACCCUAACCCUAACCCUAAUCCUGAAGGACAGGGCCUAGACCACCUUAGAAUAGCUCUGCUGGAGGUUGGAAGAGCACAGUAAACACCAGGGAGUCUCCGAAAGGCAGUUCUUGCUUUGCAGACUAGUUGAGUCACCAGUAAGUCUGGUCCAGCUCCAGAGGGAAGCAGCUUCCUGAUGCUGAGCUGCCUGCCAAUGCCGUUCCAGAGUGGGAGCCACUGCGUUUAGGGCUGGGCUUCAAUCCAGGUGCUGUUCUGCCAGCCCUAGCUGUGUGCUGGGAUGGAUCUUCUAGCUCGGCAUCACGGCAGGAGGGGUCGGGAUGUGUGAAGAAGGGAAGCAGGUUAGAGAUGGAUGCAGUCAGUCCACAGUGGGAAGUGGAUGUGGUGGAAGAGGCGUCGGGCCACUGCCUGCAUGGUCCUCACAGUGUGUAAGCGUCCGAAAGAUUUGUAACACCAAGGGCCUGGUAAUGUAAUGCCUUUCUGGGCUGUUUUUGGUUUUGUUUUUUAAAGAUUUUAUUUAUUUAUUUGUCAGAGAGGGAGAGAGAGCAUGCACUAGCAGGGGGAGUCGCAGAGGGAGAAGCAGACAUCCCAUUGAGCAGGGAGCCCGAUGCGGGGCUCCAUCCCAGGACCCUGGGAUCAUGACCUGAGCUGGAGGCAGACGCUUCACCAACUGAGCCACCUGGUGCCCCUGGGGUGUUUCUGUAUUGCACACUAAAGAA